rnacentral:rRNA from 1 species
UACGUAGGCAGCAAGCGUUAAUCGGAAUUACUGGGCGUAAAGCGUGCGCAGACGGUCAUGUAAGUCGGGUGUGAAAGCCCCGGGCUCAACCUGGGAAUUGCAUUCGAGACUGCAUGGCUAGGGUGCGGAAGAGGGAAGCGGAAUUUCCGGUGUAGCGGUGAAAUGCGUAGAUAUCGGAAGGAACACCAGUGGCGAAAGCGGCUUCCUGGUCCAGCACCGACGUUCAGGCACGAAAGCGUGGGGAGCAAACAGG